rnacentral:rRNA from 1 species
GACGGAGGAUGCAAGCGUUAUCCGGAAUGAUUGGGCGUAAAGCGUCCGCAGGUGGCAGUUCAAGUCUGCUGUCAAAGACCGGGGCUUAACUUCGGAAAGGCAGUGGAAACUGAACAGCUAGAGUAUGGCAGGGGCAGAGGGAAUUCCUGGUGUAGCGGUGAAAUGCGUAGAGAUCAGGAAGAACAUCGGUGGCGAAGGCGCUCUGCUGGACCAUAACUGACACUCAGGGACGAAAGCUAGGGGAGCGAAUGGG